rnacentral:rRNA from 1 species
CCUACGGGAGGCAGCAGUAGGGAAUCUUUCACAAUGGGCGAAAGCCUGAUGGAGCAACGCCGCGUGCAGGAUGAAGGCCUUCGGGUUGUAAACUGUUUUUAUAAGCGAGAAAUAUGAUGGUAACUUAUGAAUAAGGAUCGGCUAACUACGUGCCAGCAGCCGCGGUCAUACGUAGGAUCCGAGCAUUAUCCGGAGUGACUGGGUGUAAAGAGUUGCGUAGGUGGCAUAAGAAGUAGCUAGUGAAAUCUGGUGGCUCAACCAUUCAGACUAUUAGCGAAACUGUUAAGCUCGAGACCGUUAGAGGUAACUGGAAUUUCUAGUGUAGGAGUGAAAUCCGUAGAUAUUAGAAGGAACACCAAUAGCGUAGGCAGGUUGCUGGGACGGUUCUGACACUAAGGCACGAAAGCGUAGGGAGCAAACGGGAUUAGAUACCCCAGUAGUC